CCAGAUAUAGUGAUCAUAGGUUAAUCAAUCAUUAACCGCCGUCACGGUGGUACCGGGAAUCCGGUGAGAAUCCGGAACUGACGCGCAGCGGUAUUGGGGAACAAGCGUGGCACAAAGACACUGGUCAACGCCGGGAAGUCGCCACGCAAGGCCGAACUGAAAAAGUUCACGCCCCUGAGUCCGAAGACCUGCCAGGGAUACAACUGCACC
rfam:Marinobacter sp. HL-58 ITZY_scaf_18, whole genome shotgun sequence.